ACAAAAAGUACAAUAGAAAAAAGUAUUUAUAUAGCGCUUUUCUAAACACUCAAAGCCAUACAUUGUAUGGGGGGUGGGGGGGGGGGAAUCUCCUCAACUACUACCAGUGUGUAACAUCCACAUGGAUGAGCCAUAGUGCACCAGAAUGCCCAACACACAUCAGUUAUAUUGAUGGAGAGGAGAGAUUUUCAACACUCUCAAAGGGAUAAUACCCAGGUUAUUAACUAUUAGCUCUGAAAAUAGAAGAGCAAGAGCUUAUUUACUCAGUCAUUAUUUUCCAGUGACGUUCCAGUGAAGUAGUGGAGACUUACUUACAGAUGUUGUGAGAGUAUUAUAGUAGUGGUAGUAGUAGUUGUAGUAGUAUUUGUAGUGGUAGUAAUAGUGUAGUAGUAGUGGUGGUAGUAAUAGUCGUAGUAGUAGUGGUAGUAGUAGUUGUAGUAGUAGUUGUAGUGGUAGUAGUAGUUGUAGUGGUAGUAAUAGUGGUAGUAGUCGUAGUGUAAGUGUAGUGGUAGUAGAAGUAGUGGUAGUAAUAGUAGUAGUAGUGGUAGUAGUAGUUGUAGUAGUAGUUGUAGUGGUAGUAAUAGUGGUAGUAGUAGUAGUGGUAGUAAUAGUGGUGGUAGUAGUAGUGGUAGUAAUAGUAGUAGUAGUAGUAGUGGUAGUAGUAGUUGUAGUAGUAGUAGUGGUAGUAAUAGUGGUGGUAGUAGUAGUUAGACGUUGGUGCAAACGCUGAACUCAGGGUUCUGGAAUGCAAUGCAGAUAUACAGCGCAGUUGCGCCAGACAUUUGACUCGGCUAGUUACUGCUCUACGAGAUGCUCAGUCAGAUCAGGUUCCAAAGCUUCAACAAUGGUGUUGCUGGAGAUAUUAACAUGGACGUUGAAGCUUUGGAACAUGACCUGUCUGAGCAGAGUGUACAGAUGAGGAGGUCAGAGAGCUGGACAGACUAAAAAUUAAAGCGCUGCUGCAUCGUUCUCACUAGGUAGAGAUGAAUUCCCACUGGCACUACUGUCAGCAGGUACCUGGCAUUGUGGGUGAUGUAGGAAACGGUUAAGCACAAUUUCUUAGCAAAAUACAUUUUGGACACCACUGGAGACCAAAUGUUAAUCAUAAAAAUGAAUACGUAUGCCAUUCGGGUGGAUUUUCUUUUAAAAAUAAAUAAAUAAAUAAAACGCACCAAUUGAGGAUUCGGUUUCCUAAAUGAAGCCAUUGUGGCACUUUGAUACUGACAUCUCAUUCUUUUCUGUCUCACCUCAAAUGUGUGUCUGAUGGAGCAUUUUAGAAAAUGCGCGAAUAGAAACGCAAAACGAGGGAAGAGUAGCCAGGCGUAAAAUUGGACAGCUAACAGCCUUCGCUCUG
ensembl:lncRNA